rnacentral:rRNA from 1 species
CUAUCUUGAUUCAAAAAAAGUGAAACACCCGAACAUUUUAAACUUCGAUUUGUGACCCCUUUUGUUAUCAUAUGUACUAGAAAAUCUGGGAGACGUGGUAAAAAUCAAG